GACAGAGGUGCCGAGCGUUAGGCGGAAUCACUGGGCUUAAAGCGUGUGUAGGCGGAUCGUUAAGUGCCUUGUGAAAUCCCACGGCUUAACCGUGGAACUGCUUGGCAUACUGGCGGUCUUGAGCCACCUAGGGGCUACCGGAACAAAUGGUGGAGCGGUGAAAUGCGUAGAUAUCAUUUGGAACGCCAAUGGUGAAAACAGGUAGCUGGGAGUGUGCUGACGCUGAGACACGAAAGCCAGGGGAGCGAACGGG
rnacentral:rRNA from 1 species